rnacentral:rRNA from 1 species
CACGUAGGGCGCAAGCGUUGUCCGGAAUUAUUGGGCGUAAAGAGCUCGUAGGCGGUCUGUUGCGUCCGCUGUGAAAACUCGGGGCUUAACCCCGAGCCUGCAGUGGAUACGGGCAGACUAGAGGUAGGUAGGGGAGAAUGGAAUUCCCGGUGUAGCGGUGAAAUGCGCAGAUAUCGGGAGGAACACCGGUGGCGAAGGCGGUUCUCUGGGCCGGAACUGACACUGAGGAGCGAAAGCGUGGGUAGCAAACAGG